rnacentral:rRNA from 1 species
GGUGAACGCUGGCGGUAGGCCUAACACAUGCAAGUCGAACGGCAGCACAGUAAGAGCUUGCUCUUACGGGUGGCGAGUGGCGGACGGGUGAGGAAUACAUCGGAAUCUACUUUUUCGUGGGGGAUAACGUAGGGAAACUUACGCUAAUACCGCAUACGACCUACGGGUGAAAGCAUGGGAUCUUCUGACCUUGCGCGAUUGAAUGAGCCGAUGUCGGAUUAGCUAGUUGGCGGGGUAAAGGCCCACCAAGGCGACGAUCCGUAGCUGGUCUGAGAGGAUGAUCAGCCACACUGGAACUGAGAAACGGUCCAGACUCCUACGGGAGGCAGCAGUGGGGAAUAUUGGACAAAGGGCGCAAGCCUGAUCCAGCCAUACCGCGUGGGUGAAGAAGGCCUUCGGGUUGUAAAGCCCUUUUGUUGGGAAAGAAAAGCAGCAGGUUAAUACCCCGCUGUUCUGACGGUACCCAAAGAAUAAGCACCGGCUAACUUCGUG